CGGACGUGUACACAACAACGCAGUUCUGGUCACUUCGUAUGGUUCCCUAGUAGGCAUUCUACGUCCCGAGUCACCUAAAGGUACACAAGUGGUGUAAGGUAUCGCGCUAACACUAGUUGCAACUCGUAAGGCACGCUCCCUCGAACUUGUCUUCAAUUUUUGUACUCAGCGAUGCGUGCAACCAAAGCUGUCAUAUUCGUCGUUCUUGUAUUUUCUGUCAUGCUAAUCAAGAAGAGUUACACUGCCAAGGGUGGCAGUGACGGGUGGCCUACAUGUAGCGGACAAUGGUGUACGUUCGACGACAACGGCCGCAGUUCCUGCCCACCAAACUGCCCCUGCAUCGUCAAUGAAACCAGGGGGAGUGUGCGUUCAGGAUUUUGCUGGACAUGAUAAGGCAGGUCACGCUGGUUUUCGUGAAAGAGCUAGACAAAGCGAGUUGUUCUUAGUGCAACAAAAUAAAACAUGGAAAUCUUGUCUGAUGACAA